ACCAAUCAGCAGACUACCCUGAGAUAUUUGAUACAACUGUGUGUGUCAGUGUUCCCUGAAAACACAACCAAUCCUUUGGGCUUCACAACGCUCUCAUCAGCGCUCAGCUCAGCCUGCACCCCCUCCAGACUCAACUGCCACACACGCCUAUGUAGGCAGCCAAGCGCACACCAAACCUUUGCCUCCCAGUCAUUUUCACAUUGCUGAUUGUCACAUGUGCUCGAUUCUAAUGUUACGGACAGCAUCUGAAGGCAGCACGGGAGUCAGGCAGCCAAGAGACCUAAUCUCCCAUACAUUGCCAGGUUUACAGCUGCAACAUCCUCAAAGAUGGACAAAGUUUAACACAUUCAAAAAACUCACGGAGCUCCAACUGGUCUGGUUUCAGGUGCGUAGACAGACCAUCAAACUCUUGUACACUGCCGACUGUCAGAAUAAUUCAGUCUGACGUAAACUUGAAGAUGGCCUUGCCUUGACUUUAAAUCAGCUCUCCCCUCUGAGGGGCCCCUGGCCUCCCUGAAAGCAUUAUCUUAUUAAUUCCUUAACUAGCUUAGACCCUAAGCAGACAUGUUGAGUCAAAAUAAAGUCCAACUAAUUUGUUGUUGGUCCAGAAUCACAAGACUGCAGUCAGACUUUUCCACUGCAUGCCAUGCAUUUGUGUAAGUUCAACAAAGACAAACAUUUCUUUGGGCUGAUCCUCAACUUUCUUUUUGCAUUUAGGU